rnacentral:rRNA from 1 species
AUUGAACGCUGGCGGCAUGCCUUACACAUGCAAGUCGAACGGCAGCACGGGAGCAAUCCUGGUGGCGAGUGGCGAACGGGUGAGUAAAGUAUCGGAACGUGCCCAGUCGUGGGGGAUAACGUAGCGAAAGUUACGCUAAUACCGCAUACGAUCUAUGGAUGAAAGCGGGGGAUCGCAAGACCUCGCGCGAUUGGAGCGGCUGAUACCAGAUUAGGUAGUUGGUGGGGUAAAGGCUCACCAAGCCGACGAUCUGUAGCUGGUCUGAGAGGACGACCAGCCACACUGGGAAUGAGACACGGCCCAGACUCCGACGGGAGGCAGCAGUGGGGAAUUUUGGACAAUGGGCGCAAGCCUGAUCCAGCCAUGCCGCGUGCAGGAUGAAGGCCUUCGGGUUGUAAACUGCUUUUGUACGGAACGAAAAGGUUUGACUUAAUACGUUGGACUCAUGACGGUACCGUAAGAAUAAGCACCGGCUAACUACGUGCCAGCCGCCGCCGUAA